rnacentral:rRNA from 1 species
UUUACUGGGCGUAAAGCGUGCGUAGGCGGCUUUUUAAGUCGGAUGUGAAAUCCCCGAGCUUAACUUGGGAAUUGCAUUCGAUACUGGGAAGCUAGAGUAUGGGAGAGGAUGGUAGAAUUCCAGGUGUAGCGGUGAAAUGCGUAGAGAUCUGGAGGAAUACCGAUGGCGAAGGCAGCCAUCUGGCCUAAUACUGACGCUGAGGUACGAAAGCAUGGGGAGCAAACAGGAUUAGAUACCCUGGUAGUCCAUGCCGUAAACGAUGUCUACUAGCCGUUGGGGCCUUUGAGGCUUUAGUGGCGCAGCUAACGCGAUAAGUAGACCGCCUGGGGAGUACGGUCGCAAGACUAAAACUCAAAUGAAUUGACGGGGGCCCGCACAAGCGGUGGAGCAUGUGGUUUAAUUCGAUGCAACGCGAAGAACCUUACCUGGCCUUGACAUACUAGAAACUUUCCAGAGAUGGAUUGGUGCCUUCGGGAAUCUAGAUACAGGUGCUGCAUGGCUGUCGUCAGCUCGUGUCGUGAGAUGUUGGGUUAAGUCCCGCAACGAGCGCAACCCUUUUCCUUACUUGCCAGCAUUUCGGAUGGGAACUUUAAGGAUACUGCCAGUGACAAACUGGAGGAAGGCGGGGACGACGUCAAGUCAUCAUGGCCCUUACGGCCAGGGCUACACACGUGCUACAAUGGGUCGGUACAAAGGGUUGCUACCUAGCGAUAGGAUGCUAAUCUCAAAAAGCCGAUCGUAGUCCGGAUUGGGAGUCUGCAACUCGACUCCAUGAAAGUCGGAAAUCGCUAGUAAUCGCGGAUCAGAA